rnacentral:misc_RNA from 1 species
GGAACGUGAUAACAGCUGUGAGAUUUUGAGUGGUUUAUGUUCUCGGCCACAAAGGAAUGGUGUGAUUAGUGUUCUUCUACUCACUUGUCAUCGUAAAUUUUGCCUUGAAUUGCAUGGUGCAUCUUCGGUCAGACUCAAGUCGUGACAAGAGUCAGACUCACAGAGUGAUGCCACUUUCAUUCAGCCCCACACAUGAGCUGAGAAGAACAAUGAAAUCGAACAGCAUGACAGACACGCAAAUAAGUGAAAUUUUCAGUACUGUGCAUGGGGAUGCUCUUGAAAUCUUAAACAACGAAGCACUUAGUAACCAAAAAUGCAGCGGGAGAAGAUACAAAAAAGAACUCCCAUUACAUGCUCCAUCCACUAUCUGUCCCCCUGAUGCUACCAACAUUUAAGAACAAGUUUGUCACUACCCUCGCAAUGCACGAUAAGGAAACUUCUGAGUACCAUAAACGGGAAACCUGGCUUCACCACAGAAUCAAUCAAAGCUAUGAAGUAAAUCAAGAGAGCAGCAGUUUGGACGUUUCAGAAUUUUUGACGCGAUGAACAUAAGAUCACAAAUGAGCUUCAACAUGCUAAAGGAUAAAAACAUUGGGUUCACAGAUGUUGGGAAAGGUCAAGCCCAACCAGAAGGAGAUAAGGAGCUAGCAACAUAGGCCCUUGGCAUAAUGUGUGUCGCAAUGAUGAAGCUGACAAUAGGGUAUUUUCUAUUCAAACGACUCACUUCUACCGUUCAUUGUGCCCUCAUCAAGGAAUGCCUACGUCUGUUGAAUGACCAAGGCAUUAGAAUAUUAGCACUUAUAUGUGAUGGUGCCUCAACAAAUAAAUCUACGCAAACAAUGCUGGGUGCCAAGCUCAACGCACCACACAACAUUGACGGCAGAUUCCGAAAUCCUGCGAAUGGUGACACCAUUUUCUUUCAUGAUGUAUGCCACAAUAUCAAGCUAUUGAGGAAUCUCCUGGCAGACAGAGAGACACUAUUCGUCAACGGAACAAAGAAGGGAACAAGAGAAGAAAAAAGGUGAAAAGAAGAUAAGAGAGAUGUGCCAGAUGUGCAUCUGAUGAUAGGUAUCGUUAAUCGUUAUAUGCUUCAGAAGAAAUAGGAGGACGAGGAGGCAGAACAAGCAGUGCAAGGACCACUUGGCUCCAUCCAUUAUCAGAAUCUGAAAUUUGAUGCCAUUAUAACAAGGGAGAGAAUGCUAGAAGAGGGACAGAGUUUGACUUUCCUGUUAUCUUUUUGAACAUUAAUGACCUGUCGACUGAUCAACGGAGGCUACACGAUGGUGAAGGCCGUGAAGGCACUGGUUGAAUUAAUGUCACCUAGUGUACAACGGCAUUGGUGUUAAUAAUCUACCAAGUUUGAAUGAGUGGCAGUCUACCCUAGACGAGGACAUGACACCAAUCUUUAUUUUUUGUCUACACACAGUGUCUGAUGUUAACCAUCUACCAAGUUUAAACGACAGUGAAGGUCUACCAGAGACAAGGACAUGACACCAUUCUUUAAUCUUCAUCUACACAAGAAUGUCUGGUGUAUUGGUAUUUUUUGUGAAACCAGCAGCGCAGAAAAUUCAUUCAAGUUGGAGUACCAUAGCAGUUGACCUUCUUGAUUGCUGGGGUAGGCCCUGGACUUCACAAACAUGGCUUCCUGUCUGGUUUGAGCUGGGAUCAUCCUGCCAGAAUCACACAAUAGGUGACAUCACUACCAAGAGAUCUAUUUUUUAGUGUGCAGAGGAGGGCACCGGACACUGCUGUGCAUGGUAUACAACAUCCGUAAUCUUACAAGUGAUAUCUUGAAAGUGGCACAUCAAGUGGACAUUCAAAUACUGAUAAAUUGCAGUAUGAGGCUUCGAUGACCCUGUUUUACUCAUGUAUGGUGCAAUAUGGCUGGUUUGGACAACAUCUUGAAGUCUUUUCCUCAGGAAACAUUUAAAGUCUUAUCCUGUGUGAACCAAAACUGCAGAUGAUCUCUUAGCUGGAAUUGUGUAAGGGUUUGCUAUGUCCGUGAAGGCGAUUGAUGGAACUUGAUAUACCUGAUUAGGUUGUAGUCGGG